AGUGGGAUUGCUGGGUCAUAUGGUAAUUCUACUUUUAAUUUUUUGAGAAACUGCCAUACUGUUUUCCACAGUGGCUUUACCAUUUUACAUUCCCAUCAGCAGU
rnacentral:pre_miRNA from 1 species